rnacentral:rRNA from 1 species
GUGCCAGCCGCCGCGGUACUACCGGCAGCCCGAGUGAUGGCUGAUCUUAUUGGGCCUAAAGCGUCCGUAGCUGGCUGCGCAAGUCCGUCGGGAAAUCCACGUGCUUAACGCGUGGGCGACCGGCGGAAACUGUUCGGCUUGGGGCCGGAGGACCCGAGGGGUACGUCCGGGGUAGGAGUGAAAUCCUGUAAUCCUGGACGGACCGCCGGUGGCGAAAGCGCCUCGGGAAGACGGAUCCGACAGUGAGGGACGAAAGCCAGGGUCUCCAACCGGAUUAGAAACCCUGGUAGUCC